rnacentral:lncRNA from 1 species
GAGACUCUGGAUUCUUCUGGGUGGAGGAGACACUAUGGAAGGUAACAGGAGACAGUAAGAAGCUCGAAGCUCAGAGAGACCACGAAAACCACUUAUGAACUCACAGGAGAGAGGCUGCGCGUAUCUCCAGAUCACCAGAGGCGGGAGUGUUGGAGGUGUGGAGCUGCCUCAGCUCCACACUUGGGCAGCUGCCAAUGUGGUAAGGAAAGAAGGCAUAGUCACCUACAGGUGUGACCCUUGUCCAGUGCCACACAGAGAACAGUAGAACUGUCCUAGAGGUUUAGGAUCUAAAGCCUUUGUCAGACCGUGAAGGAAGAGGUUAGAUAUGUAUAAACUCCGGAGCUAUAGAGAGCAGCUGGCAACCUGGGGUUCUGAGUCAGUUUGCUUGAAUUCUGUCCUUGACUCUGGAGACUCUGGCUCUUGGGCAGUGGAGAAGAAGAAGGUGCAGGAGGAGGGAGGAGAAGCUGCCAUGGGUGAGGAGUCAAGAAAAAAUGGCCCUGAGGGCUGGCUGAUUGGCGUUAAGAGCAGCCCAGAUAAAACAUAGGCUUUAGAUCCUUUUGGACUUAAUUUGUAUGACAGAAGCCUCUGUUUCUGCGAUUCCAAUUUGGCUGGAGGACAAGCUCUCUCGUUCCACAUGCUAUCCAGGUCCCUGCCCCACUGCAGGCCUAGCAGAUUAGAAGCUUGGUCCAGGUGGCUUGGGGAGUCUCUCCUGCGCUUCCUCAUGGGGACGACCUGCCAGGUGUCAGAAUUUAGAAGAGCAGAGAUAGAGAAGACCUCACAAGUAGAUGGAUAUUUAGUCCAAUUCAGUCUCCUCAGGUAAAUCUGCUAGGGAAGGGGCCACCAGAGCUUUUCUAAGAAACCACUUCAACCAUGAGGGGAGAUGUGUACACCCGGAACUGAUAAUCACAGAGAGAUCCUCAACAGCUUGGAAUACCAGGGCCUGGGGUUAGGAGGAACACAGCAAAAGAAUAGACUCAGUGACCUGAUGAAGUUCAUCUGGAAGUCUGGAUGGGCAGAGCCUGAACUUCUGAGGGUAAAGAAAAGAGUUCCUACAACCGAGGCAUCUCCAGGCCCUGCAGUUCCUCUGACACUGGGUAGGGGGAGCUAGCUGGCCUCACUGCCCCUUCUCCUUCAGGAGGACCCUGAAAGGAAUGACCACUCCCAGCUUCCCCCUUUCUCAGAAGCCUCACCCAAGGUCCUCCUGUCUACCAGCUUCCCAAAUCCUCCAUAUAAACUUGGCUGGAUAAAAAUCUCCCCCCCCCCCCCCCGCCCCAGCCCGGGUUGAAAGGAAAAAAAGUAAGCUCAAUAAAUGAGUUUUGCAUCAAGGUAUUGCUGUCAGGCGCACCAGUGGAUCCUGAGGCCAGAGGACACUGCUGGGUUUAUUGGGACUGAGUCAUUAAGAAAGCUUCCGUGGUAAUAAGUCAUGUUAGCAGCUACCAUGUGUGUGAUGUCAGAUUCCAAGCCUUGACAUGAGUUUUCCUACAACAGAUGCCUGGAGCCUGGCAGGACUGCAUAGUUGUUGUUGUUGUUUUGUUAUUGGUAUUUAUAUAUGUGUGUACAUAUUCUUGGCAAGGAUGUGGAGGUCAGAAGUCAACAUUAGGUAACUCCCUUUUUUUUUUUUUUUGCAUUUUUUAAAAUUAGGUAUUUUCCUCAUUUACAUUUUCAAUGCUAGGUAACUCCCUUAAUAAUCACCCUCUACCUUGUUAGUUAAUUGUUUAAUUUUUUUUUUUGAGAUAGGGUCUCCCAAUGAAUCUGGAGGUCAGCAGGUUAGCAAGACUGUCUGGGAAGAAGCCCUAGUGACCCUACUGUCUCCUCCUCCUCCUCCUCCCCCUGUUCUGGAGUCACAGGUUCACACCAUUGUGCUUGGCUUUUAUGUGGGUGCUGGGUAUCCAAACCUAGGUUUGGGGUAACCGAUUGAGCUGCCUCUCCUGACCUUAAAGUGAAUAGAUACCUGUCUCACACCGUCAUCAUAUCCAUCACGUUAACAUAAUUACUCCAAGUUACAGAUGGCAUUUACAUGGGUAAGCACACGGUUCUCCUGCUCUCUGGCUUCAGAUCUGAGUUUCUACAAUGAGGAGCCACUUUUUGUCUCUCUAGGCCACAGCAUCCUUAUUCUAUAAAGGGCAUACUGUGUCUAUCGAAGAGCUAUGAUAAAAGCACGAGGCAGUGUCACGGGUCAGCCAUCUAUGCUAGCAUCCGGCACAUGGUCAUAGGUGCUUAGAGGACAUUCGUUAGUGGUGUCAUCCAAGAUGUUACAGGAAGUCAGGGACUCCAGAACUCAGAUCUGCUCCAAAGCCUGCAUUUUGAUUUCAUAUACUCUUUACAAAGCACAUGAAACUUUCUUUGACAGACGUCACAUUCUCCUUUCAUGUGUUGGCAUCUGUGUAACAUGUGGUCCAUAUAGGACUGCCUUUGGCCCUGGUUACAGUACAAGUAGUGGGGGAAGAGGUGGCUUGGCUUCUCCAUGGUUCGGAUCCAGUCUUUUUUCUAGAUUUCCUUUGCAGUUAUGAAGUUUGAUGGAGAAAGACCACAUAACAGAAACGGAAAGACUUCUGCUAAGCACCGGGGGCCACCAGCAUCCCCAAUGUCUGCUCUCUGCCAUCUCCCUUCCUUCCUACUUGUGUUACCUUACUAGGUCAUUGUGUUCCCAGAGCCUCACUUUCUCCAUCUGCAAAAUGGGGAUGAUAAUGAUGCAUACCUUUAAGAAACAGGGAGGGGAGGGCAGGGGGAAUAAUUAUGCAAAUUAUGUGGUGGCAUCUGCCACGUAGGGCAUCCCAUUCCUUUCUCUACGUGAGUCAUUUCAAAUCGAUAAAUCCCACCCAUCCUUCAGUGCCCAGCUCAAAUAACCUCUUAUCACAAACCCCUCUCAGACAUCAAGACAAGAAGUGUGACACCUCCAAGACAGUGUGUGUGCUCCCACUAUGGCUGGCUGAGAGUGACACUCUGAACAGUCACCAACUGCAUGAGUGUUAAGCACACUCCAUGAGAAGGCAGACUCGACACCGAAAGGGAUUAGCUAUUGUAUUGUAGUGUCAGGGGGAGUGUAGAGAAAGUGUCAGGGGAGAGAUAAUUGGCUGACGGGGGAAUGGGAUGAGGCGGCAAAAUAACCUAUUUGCCAAUCCGUGUGCAAUCAUUUGACUGUUUUAACAAGCACAGGAAGGAAUGUCGCCCACAGCCACGAUCCUGCUCUAAUUAAACCCACUGCUGGGUCCUUGAAAUGCUCAGUGACCAAGCAAGAGAGCCUCUGGUCACCUUUAACCAACUAGGACCCAGUUCAGAGUCAAGGCCUUCAUUUGCACAGGCAUAUAUGAAAAGAAUUUCCUUCAAUGCUCCUGCUCUUGGCUGUUUUCAAAAGAACAAUGGGAGCAGGGCAGAGGAGGCUCUCAGAGCUUAUAGAACUUCCAUUUUCCUUCUCAUUGGCUAAGUCCUGCUCAUAGUUUUCUGAGUUUACCUUCUCUAUCUGCUCCAAUUCUAGUGCCUUUUCCUGUCAGCCAACCUUCUCCCUCAUCUCGGUGUCUGUCCUUUGUCACACUUGACUCUUUCCUAUUGUCACCUCCCCUCAUCUCUGUUCUCUCUUAGCAAGCACAGGCUUUCCUUCCUGUUCAUCAGAUGUCCAGAGCAAAAAUGGUGCCCAACCCUUUAUAGAUAGAUGCUCGGUAGACAUGGAUAGACUUGACAAAAUGGUUGGUAGGUGGUUCAUGCAAAUGGCCCUGCUGUUCUAUCUAAUGGAGAAAGAUCAUGGGACUGGAAUCUUCUCUCAUUUUUGUCUUUGUAUUGGAAAAGACAAAAGAGCCAACCAAGCACAGAGGGAACAUGGAGUCAGGUCUUGGAGUGUAUUUAAUACUUCCGGGAGUCAGAGAACCUCAAAUGGGGUGAUUGCAGCCAUGUUGGAGCUAACUAGUAUUUAUGAUGCAAAGGUAAUCCUGUAGGAAGCAGGAUCAUGACUCUUGUUCCAGUUUACCCAUUGGCUUACCCAAGCAGGAAAGUACACUUUUGUUAUUACUAUGACUUCUGAUAAUGACUCUACCUCUCUUGGUGGCAUCACCAAAAAGCAUUGUAUAGCAUUUGCCUCUCACCAAUUGCAUUCUAAAAUGUUUACUCACAGCUAAUCAUGGUGACCCCAUUACAAGCUUUAAACUAGCUCUUACUAGUUGUCUUGUGUUUCAGGAUUUGAGGAAACAGAGACAAAGAGAGGUAAUGUGACAAAGUUCCAUGGCAGGAAUCUAGAAUGUUAUUCAAGUUUUGUUCCUGGACCAAGCACUGGGCUAAAUGAUUGUCUUCUUUAUAUAUAUGUAUAUAUGUAUGCGUGCAUGCAUUUGUGUGUGUGUUUGUGUGGUUGCACAAUCAUAAUGCCCUGUUUUGUUUUGUUUUUUUAACAACCCCACCUUGCCAAAGCCAUCAAUACUCUCUUAUACUUCUCCA